AAAAAGAAAGAAAGAAAGAAAAA
rnacentral:sRNA from 1 species